rnacentral:misc_RNA from 1 species
UCCUGAGUUAUCUUUCUCCCGCUUCCUUCCUUGAACUGCAUCCCUCCCCCUCUCUCUCUCUUUCUCUCUCUCUCUUCAUUUCUUCUGUGCAUCACUCUCUCUUUCUCUCACACUUUCUGUCUUCUGGCUCCUAUCACCCACAUCCAUUCAACCACAGACCAAGCCGUAGUAUAACACGGCCAGCACAUAACAGCAGCAGCAGUAACAAUACAACUCUACAGCAGUAUGCACAUCAUUCUUUUAAAAACACAUUGAAGGGAAUUUUAUCAAGACUUGGACUUAGCUGAUUUUUCUUCAAGAAUUCACUUCAAAGCCAAGACAUUCUGUGACGUUCAAGUUAAUAUUUGUUGCCAAAAAUGUUUGUCAAAGUAUUUGAAUUUUUAUUUCUGCUGCACAUCUGUUACGGCGUCGAUUUUAUAUAUUAUGUUAAAGAAAAUAAAACACCAAAUACUUACCUCGGAAAUAUUGGUGUUGAUACUCAUAUGAUAGAUUCUGUUCCUUCAAGUGAACAAUAUCUUGUCAGAUAUAGUCAACUGCAACAAGAGACCAAUAAUAAUUCACAACUAUUUAAUGUUACGAGUGAUGGAAAGCUUUACACGGCCAAAACAUUGGAUGCAGAGUCACUAUGUAAAUAUAAUACAGAGUGUUUUGAAACUGUAGACAUUGCUGUACGUAAAGGAAAGUCUUUUGUUAGAAUCCUCGAAAUUAAAGUAGUUAUUGAGGAUAUCAAUGACAAUCAACCAGAAUUCGAAGACAAAGAAAUUAGUCUUCAGUUUUAUGAAACUGAUGGUAAAGGAACCACACGAUCAAUCCCAAAUGCCAUUGACAAAGAUGUUAGCGUGAAAAAUUCUCAGAUAAUUUAUGAGCUGAUAAAAAACAUGGAUGAUCCAUUUAGUUUGGUUGUUUCCAAAAGAGUAGAUGGCUCUUCAAAUCUUAUGAUAACUUUAGAAAAUAAAUUGGAUAGAGAAGUAAAGGAUAAAUACUUACUUCAAGUUAUUGCCAAAAAUGGUGGUUCUAGAGGAAGGAAUGGAAAUCUGAGUGUUCAAAUCUUUGUUACAGAUGUCAAUGAUAACAGGCCUGUUUUCUCACAGAAAGUCUACAAUAUUACAAUAAAUAAUGGGCACCGGAAGAAUGUAUUAGUUCUUACCUUAUCUGCAAAAGAUUUCGAUUCCGGUAGAAAUGGUAAAAUAACAUAUCAUUUUAGCUCAAAAACGUCCAACAUAGCAAAAUCUUACUUUCAGUUAAAUCAGCUUACUGGAGAAAUAUUUCUUAAUGAAAAAUUUAAACCAGAGGAAAAAAAAACUUACAAAUUAUUCAUUGAAGCUCGUGAUGGAGGUAGUCCUCCCAUGAGUUCAAUAACUACUGUCUUCGUGAAUGUUAUCAAUCAAGAAAACAACCCACCAAAAGUUGAUGUAAAGUUCUCAGAAUCAACUGGAAAAACUGCCUCGAUUUCCGAGGGAAUGGAAGUUGGGAGUUUCAUUGCCUACGUAAAAGUUGUUGACAAUGAUAUUGGUCUAAAUGGACAAGUAACUUGUGAUCUUCGACAUGAUAAACUACAAUUGCAGAGUCUUAGCAAGAAGAAAUACAAAGUUAUUGUGAAAAAUCCAGUUGACAGAGAAACUCAAAACCACAUGGACUUUAUUAUUUCUUGUGAAGACAAAGGGACUCCACGUCUUCGAACGCAAAAGAGAUUUACUAUCAAAGUGAUGGACGUCAACGAUGUGCGACCACAAUUUACAAAAGAUACAUUCAAAUUUCUUACUUAUGAAAAUGAGAAACCAAACUUUCCUAUAGGUUUGAUAAAUGUUACAGACUCGGACCUAGGACCUGGAGGUCAGUUGACAUAUAUUCUUCUAAAUGAUAGCAAAUAUAACCUUCCUUUCAAAAUUUCUGAUUUUGGAUUUAUCACCACAACUCAGUCACUGGAUCAUGAGCAGCAAAGUCUUUAUUCAUUCCAUGUUUUGGUCAAGGACAAUGGAGUACCAUCCCUCAGUAACACAGCAAAAAUAAAUGUUGAAGUCAUGGACGAGAAUGAUAACGCCCCUUAUUUUACUUUCCCAAAUGUUAACCCUUUUAGUUUAGAUGUCCAUUAUCAUCCACAGAGUGAAAAUGAUAUUACAGUGUUAAGGGCCUCUGACAGAGACAGCAGGCAGAAUGCCUUUCUAAAGUAUGAAAUACAUCAAGGGAAUAAUCGUCAGUUGUUUAUGAUAAACUCCUACACAGGUGUUUUGUCUUUCUCUCGGCCAGUUUACCAAAAUGAUGCUGGGACAUAUAAUCUCAAAUUUAUAGUUAAAGACAGUGGUACUCCUGUUUUAUCAGCCACCACUACCUUAUCCUUAACUUUAACUGUUAGCAAUAAAACAUCAACUAUGUAUACUGCUGUUAAUGUUAAAUCAGAUGACAAAAUACAUAUCAAUCUAUUCAUUAUCAUUAUUGUGGCAGCAGUAACUGUGUCUGUUGUACUCGUAGUCUCCAUAACAAUAUGCAUCAUCCGGAGAAAUAACCAAAGAAAUUCUACAUACACUGAUGCAGUUGACUUCAAUAUGAAAAUAUCUGGUAAAAAUGAGGACUCUGAGUUUCUCAGUGAACAAUUGUCUUCUCAAUAUGAUGUUCCAGUGACCAAAACUCAAACCUGCAAAAGUACCAAUUCUUUAUCUUUAAUUCCAACUGGUGGACCACAUUACAGAUAUGAAUCAAAUCGUGAGAGGAAAAGUUCAACAGCAAGAAUUCCCCAACAAGCAACCACAGAAGCAACACACCAGAUAUAAACAUUGGCAGUCUCUCGCUUCCCAACUGCUGUAUAUUAGUCGAUACCUCUUUUCAGAACCUCCAAGACUGGUAGGAGUAAGGGAGAAAGAUAUUCUCAAACCAAUGACCUGGCCUGAAUUCUUGCAACAGAGUGAAUGCUGCUAAAGGCACCCAAGGACGACGUGGAGGUGUUACAAUAGGUGAUAGAUUAAGUCUGCCACCCAAGAACUCAGAAUGCAAAGAGCUGGAGCAAAUACCACAAGGCAUCUUGUUUGUACUCAAACAGUCCCACCAAUCCGCUGCCAUGGGCCGGUACUUCAUUUUAUCAACCCCAAAAGACUGAAAGGCAGGUUUUGAAUUCAGAGAGCAAAUACCACAAGGCAUGAGGUCCUUCUCUCUAAAGGAUUUGCUGCAUUAAAAGACAAGGGUCUGUUACAUUACAUUCUUCAUUCUUCACAGCAAUUAAACAUUGAACUCUUCUAGAAAUCUUGCUAUGUUGUAAAAGUUGCUGAUGUGGAAGGACACCAGAUUCCUCAGAUAUUGGAUUCUAACCAAAUAUGACAUGAGGGUACUAUCAUUGAAAGUCAAAGAACAUGGUUACAGAAAUAUUGUAUUGUAUUGUAGUUAGUCAUGUUUAUUUAUAUUUUUUUUUUAAUCAAUUAAAAUGAUAAACACAAAUACUUUUAAUAAUUUAUUCAAUUCUUUGAUAUGUUUAUCAGUUACUUCUGAAAAUGAAGUCUGCCAUCACACCCUGACAAGUUCACUGAUUUUGACGGAGGUGUUAAUAAAAAUUUCUAAUAAAGGUG